GUGCUCACUUCAGUAGCACAUACACUAAAAUUAUAAUAAUACCCAGAUUAGUAUGGCCCUUGUGAAAGGAUGAAACACAAAUUUGUAAAGCAUUCCAUAUUACC
ensembl:snRNA U6 U6 spliceosomal RNA